UGCUAUACAUGCAAGUCGAGCGAAUGGAUUAAGAGCUUGCUCUUAUGAAGUUAGCGGCGGACGGGUGAGUAACACGUGGGUAACCUGCCCAUAAGACUGGGAUAACUCCGGGAAACCGGGGCUAAUACCGGAUAACAUUUUGAACCGCAUGGUUCGAAAUUGAAAGGCGGCUUCGGCUGUCACUUAUGGAUGGACCCGCGUCGCAUUAGCUAGUUGGUGAGGUAACGGCUCACCAAGGCAACGAUGCGUAGCCGACCUGAGAGGGUGAUCGGCCACACUGGGACUGAGACACGGCCCAGACUCCUACGGGAGGCAGCAGUAGGGAAUCUUCCGCAAUGGACGAAAGUCUGACGGAGCAACGCCGCGUGAGUGAUGAAGGCUUUCGGGUCGUAAAACUCUGUUGUUAGGGAAGAACAAGUGCUAGUUGAAUAAGCUGGCACCUUGACGGUACCUAACCAGAAAGCCACGGCUAACUACGUGCCAGCAGCCGCGGUAAUACGUAGGUGGCAAGCGUUAUCCGGAAUUAUUGGGCGUAAAGCGCGCGCAGGUGGUUUCUUAAGUCUGAUGUGAAAGCCCACGGCUCAACCGUGGAGGGUCAUUGGAAACUGGGAGACUUGAGUGCAGAAGAGGAAAGUGGAAUUCCAUGUGUAGCGGUGAAAUGCGUAGAGAUAUGGAGGAACACCAGUGGCGAAGGCGACUUUCUGGUCUGUAACUGACACUGAGGCGCGAAAGCGUGG
rnacentral:rRNA from 1 species